rnacentral:lncRNA from 1 species
GUAUGAUGUGAUCAAGUGCCUGAACUGAACCACCUGGCAUCAUUCUAGAUAUCUUAGAUAUCCCAAAUGGAGAUACCAAAGUGGGGCUGGUGCAGAUGACCCUGAAUGGAGGGAAGAUCUGAAUCCUUCUGCAACAACCUGAUGGUUACUGUUCUUCUGCUUCACGAAGGGAUGUUCCAGCCAAAGCUCCCAAGAUUCACAGUACUUGCACUAAAAACUUACAAAUGUGCAUAUCUGGACCAGGAAAAGAUUUCUCUCUGUGAUUCUGUGACUGCAAAAGAGGAAUGGUUUUCUACAGAGAUCUGAACUAUCGCCAAGAAUGCAUAAAACUGAACGGAAGAACACUCCCCAGAGCUCCAAAAUUCACACAUUCAGAAUGGAAUACAAGUUCCACAGGACUUAAAGAGAUAUUAAGAGAAAUCUCUUAACAUCUGCUCCAAGAGGCAGGUACAAGAGACCCU